rnacentral:rRNA from 1 species
GACGAACGCUGGCGGCGUGCUUAACACAUGCAAGUCGAACGGAAAGGCCCUGCUUUUGUGGGGUGCUCGUGUGGCGAACGGGUGAGUGACACGUGAGUAACCUGCCCUUGACUUUGGGAUAACUUCAGGAAACUGGGGCUAAUACCGGAUAGGAGCUCCUGCUGCAUGGUGGGGGUUGGAAAGUUUCGGCGGUUGGGGAUGGACUCGCGGCUUAUCAGCUUGUUGGUGGGGUAGUGGCUUACCAAGGCUUUGACGGGUAGCCGGCCUGAGAGGGUGACCGGCCACAUUGGGACUGAGAUACGGCCCAGACUCCUACGGGAGGCAGCAGUGGGGAAUAUUGCACAAUGGGCGGAAGCCUGAUGCAGCAACGCCGCGUGCGGGAUGACGGCCUUCGGGUUGUAAACCGCUUUCGCCUGUGACGAAGCGUGAGUGACGGUAAUGGGUAAAGAAGCACCGGCUAACUACGUG